UCCCAUAUAGUGUAGAGGUUUAGCAUUCCGGAUUUUCAAAAAUAGCUACUUGGCCCUUUCCGGCGACUCGGGUUCGAACCCCGAUAUGGGAA